UACGUAGGGUGCGAGCGUUGUCCGGAAUUAUUGGGCGUAAAGAGCUCGUAGGCGGUCUGUCGCGUCGGUCGUGAAAACUUGGGGCUUAACCCUGAGCUUGCGGUCGAUACGGGCAUGACUGGAGUUCGGUAGGGGAGACUGGAAUUCCUGGUGUAGCGGUGAAAUGCGCAGAUAUCUGGAGGAACACCGGUGGCGAAGGCGGCAUCCUGGACCGGCAUUGACGCUGAGGCGCGAAAGCCAGGGGAGCAAACGGG
rnacentral:rRNA from 1 species